GAUGAACGCUGGCGGCGUGCCUAACACAUGCAAGUCGAGCGAACAGAUGAGGAGCUUGCUCCUCUGACGUUAGCGGCGGACGGGUGAGUAACACGUGGAUAACCUACCUAUAAGACUGGGAUAACUUCGGGAAACCGGAGCUAAUACCGGAUAAUAUAUUGAACCGCAUGGUUCAAUAGUGAAAGACGGUUUUGCUGUCACUUAUAGAUGGAUCCGCGCCGCAUUAGCUAGUUGGUAAGGUAACGGCUUACCAAGGCAACGAUGCGUAGCCGACCUGAGAGGGUGAUAGGCCACACUGGAACUGAGACACGGUCCAGACUCCUACGGGAGGCAGCAGUAGGGAAUCUUCCGCAAUGGGCGAAAGCCUGACGGAGCAACGCCGCGUGAGUGAUGAAGGUCUUCGGAUCGUAAAACUCUGUUAUUAGGGAAGAACAAAUGUGUAAGUAACUAUGCACGUCUUGACGGUACCUAAUCAGAAAGCCACGGCUAACUACGUG
rnacentral:rRNA from 1 species